rnacentral:piRNA from 1 species
UAUUUCUUGAUGAUAUGCUAAAUAAGGG